AAAACAUCGCCUUUUGAAAAUUAUAAAAGGUCAAGCCUGCCCAGUGACUUAGUUUAACGGCCGCGGUAUCCUGACCGUGCGAAGGUAGCGUAAUCACUUGUUCUCUAAAUAAGGACUAGUAUGAAUGGCAUCACGAGAAUUACACUGUCUCCUUUCUCUAAUCAGUGAAACUAAUCUCCUCGUGAAGAAGCGAGGAUAAACUUAUAAGACGAGAAGACCCUGUGGAACUUAAAAUUAAUAGAAGCGAACCUAAACACCGCAAUUACUAUGACUUUUGGGCUGGGGCGACCGCGGAGCAUAAUUAAACCUCCACAUUGAACGGACUAAUAACCUAAACAAAAACUACACCUUUAAGUAUCAGCAAACUGACAUCGAUUGACCCGAUAUAUCGAUCAAUGAACCAAGCUACCCCAGGGAUAACAGCGCUAUCCACUUCGAGAGCUCAUAUCGACAAGUGGGCUUACGACCUCGAUGUUGGAUCAGGGAAUCCCGGUGGUGUAGCCGCUACCAAAGGUUCGUUUGUUCAACGAUUAAAACCCUA
rnacentral:rRNA from 1 species